CUAAACUGUAUUAAACUAUUGACUUUGUGAACGUUUCGAAAUCACACAAUACAACGCAUACCACCUUCCCGUCGGUGCAUUUCAAAAUAGUAAACAUUUUAUAGGUAAAAGGGAAAAAGCGUUCACAUUUUAUCAAAAAUUCGAAAUAUAACGGUCUGCUUAAAUUGUUUGAAAUGGGAUUACGAAUUGGUUUAAUACACUUGUUUGUUUUUAUAACAGUUAUCGCUCUAUUACUACAAGAAUUUCAAGUUGAAUGUCGCGGAGGGCGUGGUGGGGGUCGCGCCCGAUACAGAGGCGGGGGUGGGUCUAGUGGUUCUGGUGGUGGCCCAUGGUGGAUGUAUUUGGCCAUAUUUGGAGGAAUUUUCGCACUCGUGGCAGGCAUUUUUAUUGUCAUAUAUCUCUACAAGAAAUGUCGAUCAUAAUCUGUCCAAAUCUAAUGACGCAGUAAUAUAUACAUAUAGUUUUAAACGACAAACUGGUACUUUGUCUGUUAAUAACUGUCGCAAUAAGAGAGCUACUUGUGUCGCAAGCAGUAGCCGCGCGGGUUCUUCGUGAAAUUCUGCACCAUACUUGUUGUGUUUGUGUUUGUUAACCUAUUGUAAGACAUUUUAGUGUCUGAAGAAAAGCGUUACAUAUUGAUCUAAUCACAUUUAUACUUCUUAAAAAUGUAGCCCAUCAUCAUACAUAACACACACAUAUACAAAUGGCUAGGGCUAGAAGUUAUUUUAACGUAUGGUGUGUUGUUUGACCAGCUACAGAUACGAUUUUACGCUACUGAAACUUCUAUUUUGACAUCAGAUCAAUAUCACAUUUUUCAACAAGUUUAAAUGUGGAAGGACACGAAUAUAACACUCAUUUUGUCAACAUUUUCUGUAAAUGUGAUUGAUAUACCAAAGUUUUGACAAGUCAGUUAUCUGUUGCAUAGCAGAUGAUUUGCAAAACAAGUAUUGCAUGGCUCCCUUUUUAUAUAAAUACUGUACACUGUAUAUUAUUAACUUUCAAGCCUUUAACCGUUACCAUGCUGGAAACGAUUGGUUCUGCUUUGCGGCCACUGUAGAGUAGACCAUGACCUGCACUGUUCGCUAUUCAUUCGCUAUAAUAAACUUUCAGUAAACAUCCCUUUAAAUGACAAAUGGUACUGCCCAAAUUGGAAGAUGGACCAGUCCAUUGCAGAAAUUUAGCAUGGUAAGGAUUAAAGUAACACAUUUUAUGUGAUGGUUAAACCAUACUGUGUUCGGAAUCAGGAGAAAUAAAGACGUCAGUUUAGAAACAGUUUGCUAGAGUUAUUCUUGUGUUAUGAGAAAUAUGUCAGAACAAACAAAAGGACAGGAGCAAGUUUAAAUCUGAUUUAAACUUGCAUAUAUACGUAUGAUAUAGCCUUUUGCUGACAUAUCAAAAAAGCUGUUAGUGUCAAACUUUGUUCUGGUAUUUUAAGUAGAGGGAUAAUGCUUUUAUAUACUAGUACUUGAUUUAAUUCUAAAUAUGUUAAAGACCUUUAAGGCGUUUUACUUUAUGUUAAAGACAGCUAAAGCAGAUAUCAAAAUAGAGAACGUGGACAAUUACAGAAAUGGAAAAGUACACCAGUCAGUAUCGCACAUGAAUUUAUACGGCAUAUAGCCAUAAUGGGAGGUAAUCAAAAUAGUGGAUUAAUACUUUCUACUGUGAUAUUCAAACUUUUGGCAAUUACCUGAGAAAACAAUUUGCGAACAUAUCAUUUAACAAGUAGUUAAUAUAUUUUAUGCCUAUAGCAGAAAAAUGGCAGUUACUUUAUAUCCGAAAAUAUAUCCUUUAUGCCUCAGUAUUAUUUACGUAAGACAUAUUAACACUUUUAUUAAAUUUCAUUAAAAUGAUUUAUUAAAUUAGAUGACUUGUAAAAGAAGUAUGAAAAUCGUUUUCUUCCUGUUGUCGAGAUUAUAGUCUUUCAUAUUGCGAGUAAACAUAUCUGCAUGCCUGUCCAUGUCUGCAUAUGUGAUAUUACUUUAUUUUACGCAUUUGUAUUUAUAUGAGCGGCUGCAUUCUCUUAAUGUGGCUUUUCCUGUGGGACCUUUUUCUUGGUUUUGAAUAAACUGAUAUUUUUAAACUUGACAAAA
rnacentral:lncRNA from 1 species